CAAUAGCGUAUAUUAAAGUUGUUGCAGUUAAAAAGCUCGUAGUUGGAUUUCUGGUGGGAGCGAUCGGUCUGGCGCUUAGCGCGAGUACUUGCAUCGUCUCCGGCCAUCCUUGGGGAGAGUCUGUCUGGCAUUAGGUUGUCGGGCAGAGGAUCCUCAUCGUUUACUGUGAAAAAAUUAGAGUGUUCAAAGCAGGCUUACGCCGUUGAAUAUAUUAGCAUGGAAUAAUAAGAUAGGACUUUGGUACUAUUUUGUUGGUUUGCGCACCAAAGUAAUGAUUAAUAGGGACAGUUGGGGGUAUUCGUAUUCCGUUGUCAGAGGUGAAAUUCUUGGAUUUACGGAAGACGAACUACUGCGAAAGCAUUUACCAAGGAUGUUUUCAUUAA
rnacentral:rRNA from 1 species